rfam:Anisakis simplex genome assembly, scaffold: ASIM_contig0000576
GAUCAGGUGGCCGAGUGGUUAAGGCGAUGGACUGCUAAUCCAUUGGGGUUUCCUAGUGACCGAGUGGUUAAGGCGAUGGACUGCUAAUCCAUUGGGGUUUCCCUGCGUGAGUUCGAAUCUCAUCCUGAUCG